rnacentral:lncRNA from 1 species
GUCCUCAGUCCUCCUCAGUUGGAUUCGACGCGCCGUUGUGGGCAGACGUACGCUCGUCGUCCGCGAAACACGAUCGCGAGCUUUCGAAUUUUUACCUGUGGAUUUUUCUGUGGCAAGUGCACUAAUUAUUGAAUACACACAAUAACAUUUUGUGGUUAUAUCUGGAUUGGUAUCUGUACCGGCAAACCUCUGGUUCAUUCAAGGUGUAAAGGUGGUGAAUCGUUGACAACGCAGUUUUACGGAAAAGGUACGAACUACAGUACGAGCGAAGGGGGUAAAAGAAACCCGUUCGAAUUUCAAGUAGGUAAGCGAUUUAAAUUUAAAAUGGCCGUGUAAGUCGACGUAGAUAACGAAAUUUCUUACCGUGUGCGGACUGAGUUGAGUGUAAUAAAUGGAUUUAUAGAUUUUAGUGAGUGAAAUUACGAGUGAAACUUGGACGUGUUCCAAUGUCGGGAGAGGGCUUUGCGCGGA